GGAUUAGAUACCCUGGUAGUCCAUGCCGUAAACGUUGGGCACUAGGUAUGGGAUCAUAUCAACGGAUUCCGUGCCGUAGCUAACGCAUUAAGUGCCCCGCCUGGGGAGUACGGCCGCAAGGCUAAAACUCAAAGGAAUUGACGGGGGCCCGCACAAGCGGCGGAGCAUGUUGCUUAAUUCGAGGCAACGCGAAGAACCUUACCUGGGUUUGACAUCUGGAGAAUCUUCCCGAAAAGGAAGAGUGCCCUUCGGGGAGCUCCAAGACAGGUGCUGCUUGGCUGUCGUCAGCUCGUGUUG
rnacentral:rRNA from 1 species